AAUAUAGGGAUUUGAUUAAAUCAGAUAGCAAACUAAAAAUUCUAUUAUUCAGUUUUAUUAUUACGUUUAUUUUUUACUGUAAGGGAGAAUAUAAAUUUUUUAGUAUAAAAUAAAUUAUUUGUACCUUUUGUAUCAGGAUCUAUGGAUAUAUUUUACUUACUUAGGUUUCUUGAAAUAAAAAUAUUUAUACUUUAUAUUUAAUUUAUUGUUGCAUAAUUAAUUUUAAUAUAAGUGUGGGUUUGAUAUGAAUUUAAGUUUUUAAUAUCUAGUUAUUUAGAAAAUUAAUUAAAUUAAUUUAAAUUUUGCGUUAUUUGUAUUUAAUAAAAAAAUUAUUAGGGGUAAUUUUUAAUAAUUAUAAAUAACAAAAUUAUUGUUUUUAUUUUAUAGGUUUGAAAAUAUUUAUUUUUAGUUUUUAAUAAUUACUUAAAAGUUAAUUUAAUUUAUUUUAAAUUGUUUUUUUUCAUACUAAAUAUGUAUUUUAACUAACUUUUUUUGAUUAAAAUCAUUGAAUUAGUAAAUUCAAAAAAUUUAUUUUAUGAAUUCGGCAAAAAUUAUUUUCGCUUGUUUACCAAAAACAUGUUUGAUAGGUAUAUAUUUUUGGUUUUCCCUGCUCAAUGCUUAACGUAAAUAGCUGCAGUAUUUUGACUGUACAAAGGUAGCAUAAUCAUUAGUUUUUUAAUUGAAAGCUUGAAUGAAUGGGAGGACGUAAAAUAAACUUUAUUAAUUUAAAUUUUAAUUGAAUUUUAUUUUUAAGUUAAAAAGCUUAAAUUAUUCAGAGGGACGAGAAGACCCUAUAGAAUUUAAAAAGUUUAAUUUUUUUUGUUGGGGUAACAAGAAACAAACUUUUCUAUUUUUUUUAUUUAUAAAUAAUUAUUAGAUCCUGAUUUUCAGAUUUUAAGAAAAAAUUACCUUAGGGAUAACAGCAUAAUUUUUUUAAAAAGAUCUUAUUAAUAAAAAAGAUUAUGACCUCGAUGUUGAAUUAAAAUUUUAUUAGGCGCAAAAGUUUAAUAUAUUUAGUCUGUUCGACUUUAAAUUUUUACAUGAUUUGAGUUCAGACCGGCGUAAGCCAGGUUGGUUUCUAUCUUUUGGUUUAAAAUUUGUUUUAGUACGAAAGGAUUAAGCAUAUUUAUUAAGAUUAUUGUUAUAGAAUUAAAUUAAAAUA
rnacentral:rRNA from 1 species